rnacentral:rRNA from 1 species
CGCGCAGGCGGUCUUUCAAGUCAGUGGUGAAAGCCCGGAGCUCAACUCCGGAAUUGCCAUUGAAACUGUAAGACUUGAGGAUGAGAGAGGUGAGUGGAAUUCCCAGUGUAGAGGUGAAAUUCGUAGAUAUUGGGAAGAACACCGGUGGCGAAGGCGGCUCACUGGCUCAUUUCUGACGCUCAGGCGCGACAGCGUGGGGAUCAAACA